rnacentral:rRNA from 1 species
ACACUCCUGCGGGAGGCAGCAGUGGGGAAUUUUGGACAAUGGGCGAAAGCCUGAUCCAGCCAUGCCGCGUGCAGGAUGAAGGCCUUCGGGUUGUAAACUGCUUUUGUACGGAACGAAACGGCCUUUUCUAAUAAAGAGGGCUAAUGACGGUACCGUAAGAAUAAGCACCGGCUAACUACGUGCCAGCAGCCGCGGUAAUACGUAGGGUGCAAGCGUUAAUCGGAAUUACUGGGCGUAAAGCGUGCGCAGGCGGUUAUGUAAGACAGUUGUGAAAUCCCCGGGCUCAACCUGGGAACUGCAUCUGUGACUGCAUAGCUAGAGUACGGUAGAGGGGGAUGGAAUUCCGCGUGUAGCAGUGAAAUGCGUAGAUAUGCGGAGGAACACCGAUGGCGAAGGCAAUCCCCUGGACCUGUACUGACGCUCAUGCACGAAAGCGUGGGGAGCAAACAGGAUUAGAUACCCGAGUAGUCCC